UCCCUGGGGUCUUUUUGGAAGUGCCCCGUAGAAGUGCUGCAAGCCACACGAAACGCCGUUAUGGAGCGGGGUCAUGGCUUCCACGAGAGAGCAGUCUUCCUUGUUAUGUCUCAGGCCGCCUCUUCCUCUAUUGGGGUCAGCUUUGAGGACCUUUGGGGACCCCCACAGAAUUGACCCACAACAAGAAAUCCUUCCACCUCAUGGUUAAGGCUGAGAGGUGAGGGCAGCUCUUUUGCUGCUGAGCAUUGAGUAAGAGGAAGCGCAGCGGCUUAGUGGGCAGCUGAAAUCAGAGCCAUGUGUCUCAAAGAGCGGAGAGCCGGGUGGAAACAGAGCCGCGGCUUUUCCAGGCUGCCUCUGUCGCUCUGCCUCAGCUCAGCGACAUCACACCUGCACACCAGACCUAGAUAGGUACGGUGGCAACUUGCCCCCUCCCCAACGAAGUUGGCCCACCCCCGUGGGAAAUGCUUUGUUUGGUGGCAAUAGCUAAGAGAAAAUAGAACACUCUCUUCCUGUUUACAGAUGAAUCAUUCUGCAUCAGAGGCAACUUGUUUCCCAUCCUUGCAAGAGUCUGAGGGUGGCUUUUCCUUUCUUCUCCUUUCCUUUCUCUCUUUCUUUUCUCUCUUCUCAUUUUUUUAUCCCUGCCUUUUUCAUAAAUAAAUAUUUUAACUGGAAAUUUCCAAGUGUAUGACAGGCCUAGAAUGUGAACUUGAAUGUACUGUAAUAGAAAUCAUCAGUUGCCAUGGCGACCCGUUCCAAGAGCAGAGCGCGCCGAGUCACGUGAUCGGAGGGCGCUCAGUAAUACUAACACAUCAGAGAGCGAGGCCACUUAACCCCAAUCGCUUCCAGCUAUUGUGCAGAAUGCAAUUGAAUUUAUUCCUAAUUUCUGCCAGUGCUAAGGAACAAAAUUUCCCUGCAGAUUUUAAUCUUACUCAGGCGGCGCUCAGACGCUGUUCAGCACCAAUAUUCAGCCCGGCUACUCGCCCACUUUACAGCUCCAUUUUCCUAUUCUUAUUUGCAAUAAUAGCUUCCCUCUGCCUGCUGGAUACCGCACAUCCCCCUGCCCUGGGGAGAACUGCCCUUCUCCUUCCCACGUGGCUGUGCGGUUUUCUCUGACUCUGGCUGCUAAUGCAAGGAACACAGCCUUCAUAAUAAUACCGAUAAAAAAAAAAAAAGACAGCUCUCUACUUUCAGCAAUAGUCGCUUCCCCCCACACCCCCUCUCCCCAAACCUGUUGUAAAAUACGAUUUCUGCCAGCUUUUGACUGUGCUUUGGAAUACCACAAUUAACAGCCCCAUCGUAAUGAGGCAAAGCCCCACGGGUCAGCGAAUAAUGGAAUCAAAGUGUGAGUUUUCGGUCUCCAUCACCGUCACCUCCCUCUGGCCCCCCCAACCAGGAGAGCAGCCCAGACGCCCAGGAGGUACAGCCGCCUAUCACAGAACACUCAUUUCGAGAGCUUAUCAGCUCCCAUGAAAGCUGAUAAAUCAGAGUGUCUCAUACGGACAGUCUCGAGUUAGCCGUGUCAUCGAUCCCUCCUCCCCUUUUAAGCUCUUUGUCUUAUUCACUUCCAGAGAUGCUAUCAGAGAUGCCAAAUGAGUCUUUGUUUUCUGUGCUCUUGUGCAGCCUAGGGAUAGUCUUCUAGAAGUGUCAGAACACAUCACAGGGAAAGACUGAGCCUCACAGUCUCAGAAAGAAGAAAGAUGAAUUGACCACACUCAAGAUAAGGAGAACUUAUUGAGCAUCCAUGCGUUCAGGAUUAGGUCAAGUGCCCUGGGGCAUACGGGAGCAAGAUCACUUCACGGUCAUGCAGACCAGAGACCAGUGAGCACAAUAGUCGAGGUACUCAAGGCUUCCUCUUUCUGAGAGAGCUCUUGUUGCAGAGCCCAGAUGAGCUUUGGAUUUUCACUCUUUCUGUCUCGGCUUCCCAGAAUUGCAGGGAAUAUACCACCAUGCCCAUCUCUAAAUACUCCAAUUUUCUAAAAAACGUACUUUAUGGAAAUGGAAGCAGGAUUGAAGACAGAAGCAAGACCUCUCCCCCUCCAGGAAGAAGACCAGAAGUUUCCACACUUGGGUAAACUAGUUGACCCUAGCGACUAGCUCCUCCACAUUAGUAGUCUCCAUCUGACAGGGCCUCAGCUGAGGCCCAUUAGUUGGGCCUGCUCUAUUCCAAAGAAGAUGCACCCUGUUAGGAAUCUCGUAUUUAAAUCGAGGGUCGUGCAGAGAUGCGAGGGGAACCCUCUAAAGCAAAAGAAAGAGACAAAAAUUGUAAGAAAAAACAAACAUGGAAGGAGCCCCCAAAAGCAACAAGGUCUGUAUCUUUAGGGGGAUCUGGGAAGGUAUUACAGGAGGUAAUAGUUAAGAGAAUAGAGAAGAGAUGUCGGAAUUUACAAAUAGGUUUGCCAAAGUGAGAAAUGUGGCGGGAGAACUAGAGGAGAACAUCAAGCUGAUCUCCCAGAAAUUACAGCAAAAAGUUAGGGAAACACAGAGGACAAGUCUGGAGUGGAAACUUCUGGUUUCUUUGGAAUGUCAGUUGUGUCAGACGAUGGGCACACAGGUGAAAGGAUAUCUUGCUAAAGCAGACUUGUGAAAGAAUGUUUUCCUGAAGCAGACACAGGUGAAAGGAGGUUCUGAUAUAGCAAACACGUGAAAGGACCUGUGAUGAAGGGGUAUAAAUAUGUCCCCACAGACACUGAGAGACGAGCACAGGUCAUUGGUUUGGUGUGCACAGUCUCGCUGCCUAACGAUUCUUCCCUAAGGACGCACAUGUAUCGGUUCACCCUGUAUAGCAUUGUUGAACUCAACUUGCGGUUAUUCCACCACUGAGAGAAACUCGCCAGGGAACUGCUCGUGAGGUUCCUUUCAGUUUGCCAUGGCCUCACCUCAGGAUGGUUCUCAAGCCUGGGAGUGUUUUCAGGACUGAACUCUAGCUGCUGGUUCAUGCCUGGUGUCUGCCUGCCUAGAGCCAUGGACUGCAGCUGCUGAGUGCAUUGGUGUUUGCUACGGGACUGAACUGCUGCCCAAGGAGAUCGAACUCACCCCCAAAGAACUAUUGCUAAACGGGUCCAUUUUCCCCACAUCCUGAUAACUUUUCUAUUACCUCUGUUGGGUGGUGGGCAGGAGGAGAGGUGGAUCCUUAUUAAAAGAAGCUGAAAAAGA